GAAAUAGAUGGGAAUCUGUGUGUGCAUUCUUGACAGAGACACACUUCAGAACGCGAGGAAAGGGACCUGAAAGUGACCAGUACACUACAGGAUCCUGCCCUUGCUGGAGACCCACAGAGAUGAAAUAGAUUGCUCGCCUCUUCUUCCCUUUGGCAAAUGACUGUACUGUUGAAAUGGCGACGAGAUCGCACUGGCCUAUUUAUUCUGAAUGUUUGUAGGUGAUGCCAAUAAAGGUUUGAUGAUGAUGA